rnacentral:rRNA from 1 species
ACUGCUAGAAUGCAUCGAGAUCGAAAGCUCCCGGCGCCCUAAGGGAUGGGGUCUGCGGCCUAUCAGGGUAGUAGUGGGUGUAGCGUACCUACUAGCCUACGACGGGUACGGGUUGUGAGAGCAAGAGCCCGGAGAUGGAUUCUGAGGCACGAAUCCAGGCCCUACGGGGUGCAGCAGGCGCGAAAACUUUACAAUGCUGGAAACAGCGAUAAGGGGACCUCGAGUGCCAGGUUACAAAUCUGGCUGUCGUGAUGCCUAAAAAGCAUUGCAUAGCAAGGGCCGGGCAAGACCGGUGCCAGCCGCCGCGGUAACACCGGCGGCUCGAGUGGUAACCGUUAUUAUUGGGUCUAAAGGGUCUGUAGCCGGCCGGAUAAGUCUCUUGGGAAAUCCAGCAGCUCAACUGUUGGGCUUUCAGGAGAUACUGUCUGGCUCGAGGCCGGGAGAGGUGAGAGGUACUUCAGGGGUAGGGGUGAAAUCUUGUAAUCCUUGAAGGACCACCAGUGGCGAAGGCGUCUCACCAGAACGGACCUGACGGCAAGGGACGAAAGCUAGGGGCACGAACCGGAUUAGAUACCCGGGUAGUCCUAGCCGUAAACGAUACUCGCUAGGUGUCAGCCACGGUGCGACCGUUGUCGGUGCCGUAGGGAAGCC